CACUAUAAUAUAAUAAUAUUUUUUUAUUUGUAUGUCUCAAGUUUUAUUAGAUGAUGUACGGAUGACGAUUUCGAUAACUAAUUAUCAAGCAUGAUGCAAUUUAUGACUAAAGAAAGUUCAGAUUUUUAAACCUAUCUAAACUAUUUGAUUGAGUUAUAAACUUCUAAGCAUUGACCUUCAUCUCAACCUUCCUUCAAAUUUAUAUAUUUUUCCUUUUCUUGUUAUGUCCGCCAUGGUAAGUUAUACUUUCUCUUUUAAAAUCCCAACUUACCAUUUUGCUCUUCAUCGGUCGAAAAAUAAAAUUUUCCAUCUUGGACUUUUUCCGAAAUAAAGUUGACCCUAAAGAAAAAAAAAAAAACACAUCAGAUCACAUGGUUCUCACGUGCGAUCCCUUCUCCCAAAACCUAUAUAUAAGCACGACUUGAAGAAAGACGAGGUGUUCAAGUAGAACCCCAAAAGCUCGUGGUUGAAAACUAACCCAACACAAGAAACCAAGAAGCACAAACUUACCACUCUCUCUACUUUCUCCUCUCAAAUUUUACAUCAAGUUCAACAAGUCGCUAGAGUUGCAGAACCUGUUGGUUUUUUUUUUGUUUUUGGUGGCUUGACUUCUUCCCUUCAAUCCAAGAUACAAAAUAUGAAAUAUAGCUGUAAUGCUCAAGGACAACCCUAUUUAGUCAUCUCCUUGGAUCCGGAUGAGUCUUCUUCCGAUGAAGAUAUCGAUGAGAAAUCUGAUAAUGGGUUCCUACAACUACAGGAGGCAAAUAACAUCUGCCUUGCAGCUUACAGAGAGGUUAUGACAUUGGCUAUCAACGCAAAAGCUUGGAAGAUGGGCCUUCCACCACUCGGUUCAAUCGAGGAUAUACAACAAAUGUUCAAGACUCCGCCUUCACCCGGAAUGAAAGUAGAAUCCUCCGUUGAGCGCGUCAUUCUUCCUCUUUCUCCUAGGUUUUUGAUAACUACUAUGAUUGACGUGGACAAAUGGGCUUCAACCUUUUCCCACAUUGUUCAUCGAGGAUGUGUACAAGAACCAACUGGUGUUGUUGGACGUCUAUCGGCAAUGCACAGAGGACAAGAAUCUGGCAACCAUAUCGAUAUGACAAUUGUCAAUGCUGAAUUUCACUUGCCUACACCAUUUGUGCAAAAACAAAAAUACCGUUUUGUCAGAUUUGUACGGAGCAGUCAUGGAAGAUACAUGGGCUGUAGUUGAUCUAUCAACUGAUUAUUUUCAGCAGCAUUCACUUGAUUCUGCUGCAUCGAAAGUGAACUGUCUUCGGAGGCCAUCUGGGGUCAUUGUCAAGCGCCUCAGGACGUAUGAAAAUUUAUCCGAGGUUAUAUGGAUUGAAAAUAUGGAAGUGAAAGAUUGCAAAGUUGAUGAUGAUGUGGACGACGAUGAUAUGCAGUCAGGAACAAUGAAUUCAAACCUAGCAUUUGACGCAAAGCACUGGGUUAAUAUUUUGUCAUCAAAUCACAGAAGAAGAUGUGCCAACCCUAAAAUUUCAUAUAUAUCUGAUCAAGCAGUGGCUCAAGGGGAGAAGAAUGAACUGUCAAUAGAAACCUUAAUAAAAAUUGACUGAUUUUGGAAUGAAGCUGUUCAUAUAUUCUGCAGUGAAAGUGCAUGAUACAUGGCUGGUUUGAUGCGAGGUUCCGACCAAAACGCAGACUGGAAUGAACCGUACCCAGCCCUAGUUGUGGAUUUUCAUCCUAAUUAAACCCUAAUUUUUACAUCAUGAUUUGAAUUUAAUUGUAGGGAAACUUUCCCGUUUGUGGUUUUAAAGUUUUGAAGCUACAGUGGUGGUAGAACAAAUAUAGCUUCUCAAGCAAUAGUCGCUUCCUAGUUGCUUUGCAA